UCUCAACUCUUUGAUCUCUUGUUUAUGAACUCUCUCUGUCCCUGAACUCUCUUGUUUAUGAGCCACCACCACCACCUCCAUGUUUCCAUCUCCACUACCGCCUAAACCCACCACCGCCUAAAACUACUUCUCUCAGUUGCUCAAAUCCGGGGGCCACCAAGCUCCACUUCACCGAUAACCACAAGAACCCGUUCAUUUAAAUCAGAUCUGUACAAUCACAUUUGAAUUAGAUCCGUAAAAACGCUUUUGAAUCACUGGCCUCACAUCGCAUUUGAAUCAGAUCUGUGAAAUCACAUAUCAUUUAGGUGGGUGAGAGAGAACGUGGAGGUGGUCAGAGGUUGGGAGAAGAUGCGGCGGUGGGGUGGUUGUAGAUCCGGUGGAAGGGGUGGUUGUAGAUUAACUGCUGGUGGGGGUCUGCGAUCGAUUAACUAGUUAACCUCCAUUGAAACAACAAAUCUCUGAUUGCAAUUCUACUAAUAAAGAUCAUCAAACAGAGAUACACUUAUUGAAGCUUUUUAUCGAAGGCUUUUUAUCCAAACCUGCAACUUCUGCGAGUAUAGAUUAAUGGCGCCAUAUGUGACCUAACAGAGUGAUUGAUUAACAGAAAACCCUAGGUUCGGUUAUGGAUGAUGAAAUUGAUACCGACAAACGGUUAGUAGGGUCAGAAGUGAUGACAAGAUCUCGGAAAGGAUUUAAUGGCGGUGGUGAAAAAGCUGCAAUGAAUUAAUGUCUGCAAACUUAAAUCGAUUUCAUAUUAAUCAAGAUCUUGAUCUGGAGUGAUAGGAUGAAUUUGAAAGGGGGAGAAAUGGGUCAAGAUGAAGAUGCAGGUGUGUAUUUAUUGAUUGAUUUUUGUUUUAUUUAUAAAUAUUUUAAUUAGAUUGGUAAAAGACCAAAGUACCCUUAUAUAAAUAGAUUUAACUGAAAUUUUUAACCUUGUUAAUGCUAAAGGACGAAAGAUGUAACGAGUUUUCUAAUUAAAGGACUGUGACUGUAAUUAUUGAAGUUAAAGGCUACCCAUUGCAACCCGCUACAAACAUAAAGGACGAAAAGUGUAAUUUACCCACCAUUUUAAAAACCAAAUGUUUCAUCUCCCCAUACAAAAAUCCUGACAUUACCAAAACCCCUUUUCAUUUUAAUUUUAAAUCAAAUGCUAGGACCACUCGGUAUGGCUUCGUCCUAGGGUCGGCGAGGGCCAGGGACGGGUCUGAACACCGCCCCCUAGGAACGGCCCCAUCGUCACCGUCAGCCCCUCGACGUUUAUGCCGGUCCUCUCUCUUCUUCUUUAUACACACACACACACACAUAUAUAUAGGGUCGGGAUUUAGAGAAAACAGUAGAAAGUGUGAGAACGGUGAGAACGCUUAUGGAUCGUCCGAUCAAAACAAUCUAUGGACUAGAUUGGCGCGGUGGCGUUUUCGUAAAUAACAUCAAUUUUAUUACUUGGACGCGCUUCACUAAGGGUAAAAGGGUCUUUCUACUUUUACACACAAAACGCCAUCUCAUGAAAUAAAACGCCAAAAACAAAAAUCACACACCAUUCUAAGUAAAAACGCCAUUAGAUAUAAAACGCCAAACUUAAUUAUAGUAAAAUCCCGCCUAAAAAAACCGUCAAAAAAAUCCUAUAUAUACAACAUCUCAGACCUCAAUUAAAAUCACACAAAAACCCAAACGCCAUAUUUAAUAUAUCUCAUUCGCCUUAGAAAUGCCAAAAAAACCCAAACAUCAAAUAUCUCUUCUAACCCAAAACAAACUCCCAAACUAUAUUAAAAUUACUUUUAAAAAGUAUUAUAAAAAACCCAAAAAAUAAAAAAAUAAAAAGCAAACUUGAAAAUGUAACUAGAAACAGUAUU
rnacentral:lncRNA from 1 species